CAUGAGGGUGGUCAAGAGGGCAGC
rnacentral:siRNA from 1 species